UACGUAGGACCCGAGCGUUAUCCGGAUUUAUUGGGUUUAAAGGGUGCGUAGGCGGACUAGUAAGUCAGUGGUGAAAGCCCAUCGCUUAACGGUGGAACUGCCAUUGAUACUGCUAGUCUUGAGUAUGGUUGAGGUGGGCGGAAUGUGUCAUGUAGCGGUGAAAUGCUUAGAUAUGACCCAGAACACCAAUUGCGAAGGCAGCUCGCUAAGCCAUAACUGACGCUGAUGCACGAAAGCGUGGGGAGCAAACAGG
rnacentral:rRNA from 1 species